AAUGGAAUCCUUCCUAUUUCUCUUUCGUCUCCCCGUAAUUUGUAAGCUUCAAACCUGUUGUAACCGGUACAGUUCCAAAACGGGGGCAUGACUGUGUGGCAAGGUGCUGAGCUCUGGGGGCAUAGUGGGAGUGUCGAUUGGCUCGGUACAAUUCUUCAGCCUAAAUGCUGUGACGUAAAUGGAGAGGGUGGUGCUUAUGAGAUCCAUUUACCGAUCGGCUUUGUACGGAUCCUGCCGGUUCACUUCGGCCAACGUCAACAAUCGCCACCUUCAACAGCUCUGCGGAGGUCUUCUCAAUUCUUCUCCUUCUCGAAGCUUGUUUAACCACCCUCCGUCUUCUUCCGCCGCGUAUCCAAAUCCCCUCCCUGGUCAGCACACUGUUAGGGGCUAUGAUGAUUUAAUUCCACACAGUUUUUUACUAAGUAGUGCAGACACUUAAAAUGGCGAGCAUUCGUGUAUAAAAUUUCCUCCGUUGCGAUGGUGUUGAUGGCUUCAAGUUGUGGAAACUGCCUUUCUGAGCACAAGAUAGGUUGAGGGACGACUUUGGCAGGAGCCCUCUUGCACUGGGCUGCUCUUUCUUGGGCUGGCAAUCCUAUUUUUCUGGAUAACAUGCCUUUAAUAUGCCUGAGACUUGUUGGAUACAAUUCAAAUGUGCCAAGAAUUCUAAAUUACUUGCCUAACUUCAUUGACAUGUCCAAUGAGCUGCUAAGGGCUAAACAUGCUGCUGACACUUUGAUACACAUACAUGAACACACAUGUGCGUGCUAGUCUGUAUAAGAACAUAUUAUAUAUACACUAUUUAUAUAUUUAUUAUUGACAUU